CGCUGACGCUCCCUGGCAGGCCGCCCCUCCCAUUCGAAUCAGGUCGCGGAAGUGGCCGAUGUGUCCCUCGAGCUCGGCAUGCUCGCGCCAGCGCUUGACUCCGUUGGAUGCGGACGCGGAGGCGCGGGACUCGCAGGCCCUACUCUACCCCGCUCCUUCGAAUCUGCCCCAGAAGUGCUCGAGCUCGGCAUGCUCGCCGAAGACGCCGGGCCCCUCCAUCCUCCUGAUGCCCUCGCCGUCGCCGCCAUGAACAUCUCCACCAUCUCCGGCGCAAUCGUCCGGGUCCAGAUUUCCCAAAGGAGAAGGAGGAGGUGCCGAAAGAGGAUGGGAGCAACAAGUCUGAAUCAAAGAUAUAAUCAAUUUUCUUCACCCCACGGGAGAAGUUAGAAGAUGUAUUCUUGGGAGUUCCCAGCGACUUUGAUGUAUGUUGGAACAGAAGCACACAUUUAAGGUCAAGAUCCCCACAAGAUCAAAAUGGUAGAAGGUCUGGCGUGCUGGCGCUGCUUUUGAGCGUGGCGCAGAUGGGCUGGAUCCUCAGCCACAUCACCCUCAUCGUCUGCGCCUACAUCACCUAUUAUACCCCGUCCUCCUCUCCUACUGCUACCGCUGGCCGGAACCCGUCCACGGCAAACGGAACUACACUUGUACAUGGACGCCGUCCGCUCCUGUCUUGGACCUAGAGAUGUAGCUAUGUGUGGCAUUGCACAGUACAAGAUUCUCUAUGCAUCACAGUUGCCACGGGCAUCAUGUCCGUGGUGCCCAGCAACUGCCGCCAUUAAAAGGGCCACGACGCAAACUGCAGCCAGGAUGGGACGAUGUGCCUGGUGCUGUGCAGCCUCGCCAAGGUCAUCCUCUCGCAGUUGCUGGGCCUGGAGAUCUGUUACCUUCGUCUCCAUAGUCGCCGCCGUCAUGUCCUUCACCUACUCCUUCAUCGCCCUCUUCCGGGGUGCCAGACCUGCGCGUAAGGAGAGGCCAGUGGAGGCGUGCGUUGGUCGGCGGCCAAACGAAGGAGCGGCAGGCGGUGACCUGUGCGUAAGGAGAGGCCGGCCAGCAGAGGCGGGUGCGGAGGCCAACGCGGAUCCGCCACCGCCGCCUCUCGCCUUGCCUCUUUUCGUCGUCGGCUCGUCGCCAUCGGUGCGCAGAGGCAGGUGGCAUGGGUCGCGGGGUAGUUGUUUUGAGCGAGCACGAGCAACGCAGCUCACAAAUUAAGGGGAUCUGAUUGCGAUCAGUUUCCUAUUCUCAUGCCUGAUUGCGGACGUGGGACGGGCGGGCGGCAGAGUUUUCGUCCGCCAGCGGAAAUUGCUAAGCGCACAGUUGGCUAACGAUAGGGAAAUUUUGGGUGUACAUCUGUACACCCAUGACCCACAGUGGAUCCGCCCCUGCUGUGAAGCUCCUCCUUAUACUUUCGCCUGCAUGAGUAGGCUUGGGGAUAUCCCAGUGAAGAUGACGUCAUUCCUGGUGUUCCAAACAGCCCACAGAACUAGAGUGAUAAUCUCCAAGAAAAAAAGGUACUUGGAGUCGCUUCGUACGUGGUCUAUGCUACACCGAACAGAGUACUAGCCAUUGUUAAAGGCGGUGUGUAUGCGGUUAGAGCAGGUGACUAGUGAGAUUUUUUGCCCAACAUGGAUGACAAAAUAAUUUCCAGACCGGUCCACCACCUCCUUCAACAUAGGCAUAGUGUCAGUCCUUGGACUUUACUGUUGCCGAUAUGUUGCUUUUUUAUCAUCUUUUGUCACAGUUGAUGUUUGACUAUGUGCAUCUUAGUUAUGCAGAAGUGAGUGUUGCUCAUCGUGCUUUGUAUCCACGUGAUGCUACAUUUUAAGUUGAUAUAAAAUCGUCUUUUAUCAAAAA